UGGCCUCACACGGCUGACAUGGCCUGGUCCUGUGUGCAUCCUUCCUGCCUUUGUUCUCACCUCACAGGAGAGCUGGUGAGUGUGGGUAAAGGUGAGAGUGGGGGAGUCGUAGGUGGGUACUCGUUCAGGAGGGACAGAGUCCAGGUCUUUUCUUUCCUCUAUCCCCUCUCAGAGGGAGCAUCUCUUAGGACUGGUCCCAAUUCCAGGCUCAAACCAGAGAAGAAAUACCACAGAGAAGGCAAAUGGCCCCAGGAGAAGGCCUCGCUGCCCUGAGGUAGCCAGCUGGAGUCUGACCACCUUCCUCUUUUCCUAUCUUCUGCUCUCAACCUUGGGCUGGUCUUGGCUCUCAUGUCCUUUGGGGACCUCUUCUGGCCUCUCCAGACUUACUUAGAUCAGGACUUGAAGGUGCAACCAAAAUACCCAUCAAUCUCUGUGCUGAGGCUACUAGACACUUGGCCAGCAAGCAAGCCACGUCCGACUCCUCAGCGUGGGCUCCAGAAUUGGUUUCAAAAAUCAAUAUCCUUCUAGGAAUGGGCACCAGGGGCUGGAUGCGGUCAUCACAGCACAGGCCAUUUGGGGUGUCCGGCGCUAUGAAACAACGAUGAAGAAGAUGACCGGCUAGGCAGGGUUCGGGACAGCUGACACCAGAGCAUGCUUGGAAAGACCAAGCCAGUUACAAGGUGUACCCAAUCAGGAGGCUCCAAAAUGUGACACGGAUUUGCGUUUUCUUUUGAUUCCUUCCUGGUGGUUUUACGUAAGAGGCAGCGCGUUGGGGCCAGGAAGGGACGGAACCAUGGGGCUGGGUUUACACCAGCUAUGCGAAGCCCCUCCGCUCUGCCCCCGCCUGCGAGGGGCUUUCUUGGCUGGGUCUGUUCCUGACAGAAGGGAAGCGAGUUGUGGGGGUGGGGGGGCUUGGCAUGUGUGUGUGUGUGUGAGUGUGUGUGUGUGGUGUGUGUUUAAAAUACAGAAAAAAAAAAAAGAAGCAUGGCUUUCCUCAGCUGCAGAGGCGGGCCGGGUUCUGUCGGUGCCAAGUCCCUCAGAGCGGGCACUGUGGGGACACGGGAGGCACAAGAAGGCUGCAGAGGUGAGGGACGGGUGUGGAGAAAGAUGGACGCUUGCCAUCUCGAGCGCCAGCGGCUGCACGAGGCCAGACCCCACGAACAAAACCCACAGCAGAUCUCUGGCAACCCAUGUUAGGAGGCAGAAGACAGUUGGCAGCGCUGCGGCACAGAGGACAGCCUGGGAGCGGGCGGAUGUAGCCAAGGCCAGCACGGAACAGGAUGGCCCUGCAAAGGAUAAUAUCUUCGGUGAGGUCGGAGGAGAGACAGCAAGCACAGUCACUUGGAGUUUUGAUAUGAAGUUGACACAGGCUGAGAAAGAAGAGCCAAGAAGCCACGUCGCCUGGAGUAAACCCAGCUCCUAUCUGCCAGACCCAAGGGGGGAAUCUCAGAUUCCCCAGCUCCUGCCCAGCUCCUGCCCAGCUUCUGUGGGGCUGAAGUUCACUUAGAGCUGCAGGCCACAAGCCCAGGCCAUCCCAAGCAGGCCUCAUGACAAUGUAUAUGUUUCUGAGAAAUCCUCUUUUGGGGAGAGCAGGACUUAGCCUGCAUAGACUAAGGAUCCCCUGAUAGGCAAGGAAACAGCAGCCAGUCACUUGUAGGUUAGGUCCCAGGAGUGUCCAGUCCCCAUGCUGGCCCUGUCCAAGUUCCAGGAAGGGACUUUCACCCAGAAAUAGCUGAAGACUAUGACAACCUUCCCAACACACUUGUUUAUGAUUUGACUUAAUUAUUUUUCUAUUUAUCUCUAUUUCUGAAUCUCUCCCUUUGGGUUUCCUGAGCUGGAUGCCCUCUCCUUUUUGGGUAGGAUGCAUGGCCACCAUGGCUGCAGAUGCAUCGUAAGGAACCCUCAGAGGUGGUGGGAUUCUGCAACUGGGGGAGCCUGGAGCCUGGGGGGUGCUCCACCAGCUCAGCCACACAUGUGGUUGUUCCACCCACUCAGCCCCCACCUUGUUCCAACUGGAGCCUGACGUCUCCCCAACCACAUCUGACCAUGUCACUCCUCCAAGACCUCACCCAGAUCUCUACCACCACCUGGCCCUCUGACAAAAGGGGAUGGGCUGGCAUUGUCCAUCUAGCCUAGGCUACAUUUCCCAGUCUUCUUCCCCCGGGUUUCCAGCCUGGACCAUGUGGGAAAGUCCCAUGGAACUGGAAGGAGAUGUUCUUCUAUAGUCCCUGCCUCUGUACUGCUGCAUUCCACUUUUGUGACUUUUUGGCUUCUCAGAGUCAGGUUACCAUCCUUAUGAGGUCACGGGCACAACUAUGAAGUACCUCCCACCUGUGCUUCGGGGCCAGCCCUCCCUCAUAGAUGCCUCUCUCAUGCACUUUGAAGCGACUCCAGCACUGACCACACAGCAGGAUCUGGAUGCCCAGACCUAGUGUGCGCAGUGCCUGCCACACACCCAUGACAGUGUUACAGUUGGGUAUGAAGUGUCCUCGAGAAGGGCCCUGUGUUGUAGGCUUGCUUCCAACCCAGCAGCAUUCAGAGAUGGAGCCUCUGGGAGGUGAUCUGUCACCAAGGCUGAUGCAGAAUCAGGAAGCAGUGGGAAGCAGGAAGUGGGAAGCAGGAAGUGGGAAGCAGGAAGUGGGACGUGGAUGGAGGAAGUAUGGAACUGGAAGCACGGCUUUCCCCCUGCUGCCUCCUCUCGUCUCCCUCUGCCUCUUGCACCCUGAGAAAUAAGCACCUUUUCUCUGCCUCACGGUCCUGGCAGGAUUCUCUGUCAGACUCCUCGUGCCCACAGACCGCAGACCAGAGCCUCAGAAACCAUGAGCCAAAAUAAAUCUUUUUAAUUUUAAAA
ensembl:lncRNA